rnacentral:rRNA from 1 species
ACGUAGGGGGCGAGCGUUAUCCGGAAUUAUUGGGCGUAAAGAGUGCGUAGGUGGUUUUGUAAGCGUAGGGUGAAAGGCAGUAGCUCAACUAUUGUUAGCCCUGGGAACUGUGUGACUUGAGUAAAGGAGAGGAAGGUGGAAUUCCUGGUGUAGAGGUGAAAUUCGUAGAUAUCAGGAGGAACACCGGUGGCGAAGGCGACUUUCUGGCCCUAUACUGACGCUGAGACGCGAAAGCGUGGGUAGCAAACAG